AUUGAACGCUGGCGGCAGGCCUAACACAUGCAAGUCGAACGGUAACAGGAAGAAGCUUGCUUCUUUGCUGACGAGUGGCGGACGGGUGAGUAAUGUCUGGGAAACUGCCUGCUGGAGGGGGAUAACUACUGGAAACGGUAGCUAAUACCGCAUAACGUCGCAAGCCCAAAAAGGGGGACCUUCGGGCCUCUUUCCAUCGGAUGUGCCCAGAUGGGAUUAGCUAGUAGGUGGGGUAACGGCUCACCUAGGCGACGAUCCCUAGCUGGUCUGAGAGGAUGACCAGCCACACUGGAACUGAGACACGGUCCAGACUCAUACGGGAGGCAGCGGUGGGGAAUAUUGCACAAGGGGCGGAAGCCUGAUGCAGACAUGCCGCGUGUAUGAAGAAGGCCUUCGGGUUUUAAAGUACUUUCAGCGGGGAGGAAGGGAGUAAAGUUAAUACCUUUGCUCAUUGACGUUACCCGAAGAAGAAGCACCGGCUAACUCCGUG
rnacentral:rRNA from 1 species